rnacentral:lncRNA from 1 species
CUAGAAUUGGAGGCAAGAAGGCCCUAGGUUCUGUGAGAACUGGAUAGAUUUAGCUAUCUCCUGAUUGUAACAAGGAAGGUACUUAGUUCUUCCUUUAUUGUGAAGAGUGAAAUAUAACCCACAAUCUAUUUUUAGAUGUUAAUCUACAAAAAGGUGAUAACUCAGUAUUUUAAGUAUAUCUACCCAUUUUAACUACAAAAAGGUGUUAAAUAACUACAAAAGGUGAACUAACCAAAUAAGGUGUUAAGUAACCCAAAAGUUAUAAUGUAACCAAAGAAGGGGUGAACUAAAGAGUGAGCAGUCCUGGAAAAAAGCAUCUGCUGUGAUUGGUAGACCUGAAAUUUAGGGGAGGUGACACAAGAGAAAAAGAUCUUUAAAAAGAGAACAAAAGGCCAGAAGAGAUAUUUGAUUCAAGAUUCGAGUUGGAUGGAGGAUUCUCUGACUCAGAGUUGGACUGGAGGAACUGGACCCCUGGAGGAACUUGUGCAGGAGACAUCAGUUCAGACUGAUUUUCCAUUUAGUCAGUCACCGUUGGUAUCCAUCCAGCCAAUGGGGGACGGAACAGAAGGUGCUAUUAUUGCAAUAAGUCUGAACAUGUAUAGAGGGACUGCUAUGAACUGCAGCAAAAGUAACAAAUCUACACAUCAGCUUUCCAAGGUGACAAGAUUCAUGUCGUCUCCCUCUUCUCUCCGGGAGCUAAGAAGCAACUCCACUGGGUUUGAUGGAGGAACUGAGACAGGCUGAUUCCGAGAUUCACCGAGGGUCAUACAGCUACUGCCCAAGAUAGGAUACAAAGUUGGGACUCUUGACUUGAAGUCUAAGGCUUUUUCCUUAUCUCUUAAA